UUACCUCCCCUGAAUGACGUCAUCCGGGGAUACCCGAUUAUCGACUGUAAGCAAACAAAGAGAUGUAUGUUUGACAAUGUGUGUUUUCAACGGUGUAAAUGGACUUAAAAUAUGAACGAAAAGAUUAAUGACCACGACUAUGCUGUCCAGUUUUACACAGCAACACCAGUAUUCGACUCAAAACCGGAUGGAAAACAGAUUCAAGACAUUACUGUAUCACUCGAGAAGAAGUUGAAGUCUAACAGGAUCUGCUGUGUGCCCAAAUGUCACACCACUGGCUAAGGAUUGUUAGAAGGCCAUGGAAAGCCCAGCUAUCAUGCAUUUCCAGCUGAAGAUGAUCCAGUUCAAGCUGUUUGGUUGAAUAAAAUACGAAGAGAUGAAGACAGACAUUUUAAGAUAAGUCACAAUACGGUUGUCUGUUUUCUCCAUUUUGAACGUGACUGUCUUGAUGAAUCUGGAUUUGCUAAGCGGAGGUAUCUAAAACCAGGAGCCAUCCCUACACUAUUCGACUGCUGGAAGGACAAACCACAUCUGUUGAAGCGAAUUCAAGUGGAACGUGCAAUUAACAAGAUUAAAAGUUUUCACAUAUUUGAUCAGGUCAUUCUGGUUUCUCUGUUUGGGAUAAUUAAUCAAAUUUGGACAGUUUGCUCAUUGCUCACUCUUUUCCAAGACCCAAUUAUACCAUGUCCUGGUGUUUAACAUACAUACCAUUUAUAUGAACAUUUGUUGUUCGUGUACAUCAUACUACAUGUAGGCUAAUGAAAAACCAUUGGCUGUUCAUGUAAUAUUUGUACAUUUUUUGGCUUUGUAUAAAGUUUUUGAUAAUUAUCUUGAUAUAAGCAUUGAUUUAGUUACAGAUUAAUGCUUAAAGAGUACUUAAAGCUACACACCUUGAAAUAAAGUACAUGUUCAUAUAGAUGCAAUUUGAAAGUGUGCAAAAUAUUCAUUAAAUCUAUAGUCUAGUUAGCAAGUAAUUUAUUAUUUUUCAAACAGGAAUAACUGCUUUUAAAACUGAAAGAAGGAUUUCUAUAUUAAACACGAUUAUUUUUAACUUUUUAAAGCGCAAAAAAAGAUGGCUUUCUACCUUGUUACCACCAGAUAUAUUCUAGUUGGCAUAAUAAAAUUAAAUCUAUAGCCUAGUUCAAUAGCAAGUUAUUUUUUUUUUCAAACAGUACUGCUUUUAAAACCGAAAGUAGGAUUUCCAGACGUACACAUCCAUUUCGACAAACGCGAUUAUUUUUAAGUUGUAAAGUGCAAAAAAGAUGGAUUUCUACCUUGUAACCACCAGAUAUAUUCUAAUUGGCAUAGAUAAAAUAUGUCACUCAUACUUAAAUUUACUAUGCCAAAUAAGGUGUGUGGCCUUUACAUAAAAAUUGUAUAUACAUCUUUUUAAUCAUGUUUGUUAAUUUGUUUUGAUUGUAUGACUACUGAAUAAAUAAUUUUGUUAAUAGAAA